GGGGGGCGUGGUCUCGGCGAGCGGCGGGAAUGGCGGGCGAGCUGAGCGCUGAGGCGGCGCGGGAGCUGCGCCAACUUCAAAAAUCCAAGGAGAAAUUUCGACAACUGGGGAAUUCCGCGGAGCUGGCGGCGACCUGCAACAGAAUGGGAGAGCUGCUGGCAAGCCAGGGAAGGUUCCAGGAGGCCCUGCAGGAGCACAGGGAGGAGCUG